CAGCACCCUGGGAUUUUGACCUGAGCUUAAAGUGGCCACCCAACUGACUGAGCUCCCCAGGCACCACGACAACCUCAUCUUUAACUUUACCUGCUACUAUGUACUCUGGAAGGCCUCAGACAUCAGCAAUGGCCACAAGACAACACUAGCAGCUCACCAGUAAGAAAGAUCACCUGACCAGAUAUGGACCUCAGCCAUGGCGUUUCUUGUCAACUGCCAGCUCACCUGCCCCCGACACCGGACAUAGGUGUCUCCAUGUCUGCCAGUGACCUGUUGAGAGGCCCGCAGAUUUUCUGUGUGCACUUCCUGUGUGCUUCUACCUCUCUGCUCAGGCAGCAGGUGAGAGAAGUCACUUCCUUUCCUUCAUCGUCAAAACAUUAAAUUGGAGGUUUUUAGAUCCCAUCCCUAUAGCAACCAUAUUUAUAUGUCCCUACAACCAAAGAUGUAGACAUCAGGAUCUGUAUUUUUUAUGUCCUAUAGCCUAAAGUCAACGUGCAAGUUGUCUUAGAGAAAGUGAGUUGUUAUUUCCAGUGUUAAUGCAGUGUGACAGUAAAUGCAUUCUGCUGUCCAGUUUCCAACGGAGUUACACAAUCAUACCUGGUGUGCCUCUUUGAAAACCCUUUUGUCCUUAA